UAGGGAAUCUUCGGCAAUGGACGGAAGUCUGACCGAGCAACGCCGCGUGCGUGAAGAAGGUUUUCGGAUCGUAAAGCUCUGUUGUUAGAGAAGAACGUUGGUAGGAGUGGAAAAUCUACCAAGUGACGGUAACUAACCAGAAAGGGACGGCUAACUACGUGCCAGCAGCCGCGGUAAUACGUAGGUCCCGAGCGUUCUCCGGAUUUAUUGGGCGUAAAGCGAGCGCAGGCGGUUCUUUAAGUCUGAAGUUAAAGGCAGUGGCUUAACCAUUGUACGCUUUGGAAACUGGAGGACUGGAGUGCAGAAGGGGAGGGUGGAAUUCCAUGGGUAGCGGUGAAAUGCGUAGAUAUAUGGAGGAACACCGGUGGCGAAAGCGGCUCUCUGGUCUGUAACUGACGCUGAGGCUCGAAAGCGUGGGGAGCAAACAGG
rnacentral:rRNA from 1 species